AUUGAACGCUGGCGGCAUGCUUUACACAUGCAAGUCGAACGGUAACAGGUUAAGCUGACGAGUGGCGAACGGGUGAGUAAUGCAUCGGAACGUGCCCGGUCGUGGGGGAUAACGCAGCGAAAGCUGCGCUAAUACCGCAUACGAUCUGAGGAUGAAAGCGGGGGACCGUAAGGCCUCGCGCGAUCGGAGCGGCCGAUGUCAGAUUAAGUAGUUGGUGGGGUAAAGGCUCACCAAGCCAACGAUCUGUAGCUGGUCUGAGAGGACGACCAGCCACACUGGGACUAAGACACGUGCCAGCCUCCUACGUGAGGCAGCAGUGGGGAAUUUUGGACAAUGGGCGAAAGCCUGAUCCAGCAAUGCCGCGUGCAGGAAGAAGGCCUUCGGGUUGUAAACUGCUUUUGUACGGAGCGAAAAGGUCUCCUCUAAUACAGGGGGCUCAUGACGGUACCGUAAGAAUAAGCACCGGCUAACUACGUGCCAGCCGCCGCGGUAA
rnacentral:rRNA from 1 species